AGAGUUUGAUCCUGGCUCAGGAUGAACGCUAGCGGCAGGCCUAACACAUGCAAGUCGAGGGGCAUCGGGAUUGAAGCUUGCUUCAAUUGCCGGCGACCGGCGCACGGGUGCGUAACGCGUAUGUAACCUACCUAUAACAGGGGCAUAACACUGAGAAAUUGGUACUAAUUCCCCAUAAUAUUCGGAGAGGCAUCUCUCCGGGUUGAAAACUCCGGUGGUUAUAGAUGGACAUGCGUUGUAUUAGCUAGUUGGUGAGGUAACGGCUCACCAAGGCAACGAUACAUAGGGGGACUGAGAGGUUAACCCCCCACACUGGUACUGAGACACGGACCAGACUCCUACGGGAGGCAGCAGUGAGGAAUAUUGGUCAAUGGACGCAAGUCUGAACCAGCCAUGCCGCGUGCAGGAAGACGGCUCUAUGAGUUGUAAACUGCUUUUGUACGAGGGUAAACUCACCUACGUGUAGGUGACUGAAAGUAUCGUACGAAUAAGGAUCGGCUAACUCCGUGCCAGCAGCCGCGGUAAUACGGAGGAUUCAAGCGUUAUCCGGAUUUAUUGGGUUUAAAGGGUGCGUAGGCGGUUUGAUAAGUUAGAGGUGAAAUCCCGGGGCUUAACUCCGGAACUGCCUCUAAUACUGUUAGACUAGAGAGUAGUUGCGGUAGGCGGAAUGUAUGGUGUAGCGGUGAAAUGCUUAGAGAUCAUACAGAACACCGAUUGCGAAGGCAGCUUACCAAACUAUAUCUGACGUUGAGGCGCGAAAGCGUGGGGAGCAAACAGGAUUAGAUACCCUGGUAGUCCACGCAGUAAACGAUGAUAACUCGUUGUCGGCGAUACACAGUCGGUGACUAAGCGAAAGCGAUAAGUU
rnacentral:rRNA from 1 species